rnacentral:lncRNA from 1 species
UAUGUCCUUGACGCUAGGUUCAUUGUCAUUCUUGUUCAACCUAUAUUUAUUAACACUAGGUUCAAUGCCACUCGAUCUAUGUGUAUAUAUAUAUAUGUCCACAUGCACAUGUCAUAUACUUAACAUCUUUACAUUAGGAUCUCCACAACAUGCUUAUCAUACUUUCUCUUUAGCAUUCUUAUUUCAUAUCUAUAUACAUUCUUACAUUAACAUUUCUACUCAUGCAACAGGACUAACAUAUAUCAUUUACUUUAUGCUUUCCACUUAACAUUAUUCACACUAU